UUGUGGUAGCCCACAAAAUAUUGGGACAUAUAAAAAAGACAAAUCUGUUCCGCAGAGUAGCUGUUGACAUUAUAGUUGUGCAGGCACUUUGUUGACUCUAGAGAACCUCGAGCCAAUCGCACAUCCCCGUGACGGCGACUUUGCAUUUGGAUGUCAUCCAUAUCAACUUUCGAUGCCAGUUUCUGUGCCUACCAUGGUGACCACAGGUAAUGGGGAAUCAGGGUUCCAUUCCGUACAGGGACCCUGAGAAACGGCUACCACAUGCAAGGAAGGCAGCAGGCGCGCAAAUGACCCACUCCCGACGGGGGAAGGUAGUGAUGA
rnacentral:rRNA from 1 species